AAGUAAAAGUCGUAACAAGGUCUCCGUAGGUGAACCUGCGGAGGGAUCAUUACAAGUGACCCCGGUCUAACCACCGGGAUGUUCAUAACCCUUUGUUGUCCGACUCUGUUGCCUCCGGGGCGACCCUGCCUUCGGGCGGGGGCUCCGGGUGGACACUUCAAACUCUUGCGUAACUUUGCAGUCUGAGUAAACUUAAUUAAUAAAUUAAAACUUUUAACAACGGAUCUCUUGGUUCUGGCAUCGAUGAAGAACGCAGC
rnacentral:misc_RNA from 1 species